rnacentral:rRNA from 1 species
UACAGAGGGUGCAAGCGUUGUUCGGAAUUAUUGGGCGUAAAGCGCGUGUAGGCGGCUUAUUAAGUCGGACGUGAAAUCCCUUGGCUUAACCUAGGAACUGCGUCCGAUACUGCUAGGCUUGAGUGUCGGAGGGGGUGGCGGAAUUCCCGGUGUAGAGGUGAAAUUCGUAGAUAUCGGGAGGAACACCUGUGGCGAAGGCGGCCACCUGGAAGACAACUGACGCUGAGACGCGAAAGCGUGGGGAGCAAACAGG